GCGCUUCCAAAGUACAUAUACUAAAAAUUGGAACGAUACAGAGAAGAUUUGCAUCGCCCCUGCGCCAAGACGACAAGCGAAAUCGUGAAGCGUUCCACAUUUUU